UACUUCCGUGGAUACUAUAAAUAGGUUUGUUUUGACAUAUAGAUCGAUAAUAAUCCUUCACACGUGUUCGAUCAUUAUAGGAAAUAUCCAGUUUUUGUUUAUACUUUUCUAUUGGUUAAUAUAUCGGAAGUAACCUUUUUCGGGUGGUGCAAAAUACAGUCAAAGGUCAUACCCCUACAGUCUAUUCACUAGAUUUAACGUUAUAUUUUUCUAUUGUCGUGGUUUGCUAUAUAAAGCCCCGAAAUUUGUAGUUUCUUUGCGACUUGUUCAGCAUUAAUUUGCUGUAAGUUUAUCACUUCUCUAACAUUGAUUAUAAGAUAUUAAACAGGUUGCACCCGUUAGGAGAAUAGUUUGAUCAUUUUUUUCAUUAUGUUCGGCCCUUAAACUAAAAGUUAGGUGUUAGGUUCUUAUUAAAAGGGAUUUUUGUAUUAAACCUAGGCCUUUCCCCCGGCUAGGUUGGCUAGCGUUCCCGUACGCUUGGAUGGGGAGGGGGGAUGAUUUUUGUUGAUGAUUUCCAUGGUGGUGUUAAUAAGGAUUUUUGUUAGGAAUUUUUUAUAGUAACAUAUUUUUUGUCUAUAAUGGCAGGAAUUUACAAUUGCUAUCAUCAUUUUGUUUUUGUUUUUUUUCUAUAAAGUCGUAAAUAAAUAUUGUUGUUUGUUGACCCAUCCUAUUACAUUUGUACAAAUGUUUUAUCAGGUUUGAAAUCAUGUGAAAGGCACUUCUACUUUUACACUACAUUUAUUAUCAUAUUCUGUUAAUAUUACGUAUGUGUGAAUGUCUGUUUCUUAUCUUAUAUGCAUUUAAAAUUUCUUUUUGCAAUUUUGUUGAUAUUUGACUAAAAUUCAAAUUUGAGUCAAUGUGAUAAAAUACAUGUAUUAGGAAUGUUUACCGUCAAAGUAUUGUUUUCAUGUCCAAAAAAAAGCCAUUUGCAUACUUCUUGUCCUGCUACAAUGUCUCCCAAACUUAUGAUAAAGGCAUUUUUUUGUUUCUUUUUUUAUCUCCGCAUUUAUAGGAGGAUUUACUCAAAUUGAGAGGUACAAUGAUUUUCAAAUGUUUUAUGUUUAACCUUAAUAAUAAAUGGUAUUAAAUGUG
rnacentral:misc_RNA from 1 species